UGGACGGGCUGCUGUUCCUGCAGCGGAGGGCCCAGAGUGGGCAGUGGGCAUCUAGGCCUCUGCUGCUCAGCUCCCAGGCUGGCUACGUCUGCUGGUGGAGCAUCAGCGGACCCCCACACUGCCACGGGCAGUUUUAUGCGCCCCGGGGGCCUGGUGAGUGUGUGUUACGGCUCAGCUCCGACCAGGACAACAGGCUUCUGGUCACAGGGGACACGGCCGGGGGUCUGCAGGUGUGGGACAUCUCUCAGCACUGCCUGGGCACCGCAGAUGGGCCCACAGGAGAAAGGCCUCCACUCCUGCACAGCUGGAGGGCUCAUGAUGGUGCACUGGUGUGUGUGGAGCUUGUGGAGUCACACACACUCCCCUACCUGCUCAGUGCCUCGGCUGAUGGCACGGCUCGUCUCUGGACCCUACGCGGAGAUGCUGUGGGCACUUUUGGACAGGAGAAGAAGUGGAAACUCGAUGAUUUAUCCACCUAUCAGU